CAGCCGCCGCGGUAAUGCGGAGGGAGCUAGCGUUGUUCGGAAUUACUGGGCGUAAAGCGCACGUAGGCGGUUAUUCAAGUCAGAGGUGAAAGCCCGGGGCUCAACCCCGGAACUGCCUUUGAAACUAGAUGACUGGAAUCUUGGAGAGGUCAGUGGAAUUCCGAGUGUAGAGGUGAAAUUCGUAGAUAUUCGGAAGAACACCAGUGGCGAAGGCGACUGACUGGACAAGUAUUGACGCUGAGGUGCGAAAGCGUAGGGAGCGAACAGGAUUAGAUACCCCGGUAGUCCCUGUCUCUUAUAC
rnacentral:rRNA from 1 species